rnacentral:rRNA from 1 species
AUGGCUCCUUGUCCGCUCCCCCGGCCUGCGUCCGCGUCGGCGGCGGCUGCAGCUGCCUCUCCGGCCUUGCUGCGCGUUGGCUCUGCGUCCGCGUCGGCUGCUGCCGCUCCAGCCAAGGUGAGCGCCGGCUCUGCGCCCCUGUGGGAGGCGGCGGCCGCCGCGGCCUUGCUAGGCGUCGCCUUGGCAUCCGAGCCGCCCCUGUUCGUCGUCCCGGCAUCCCAGACGACCUCGAUGCUGCUGCCGUCUGCCUUGCCCGGCGACCCGUCUGGUCCGGGCGAUGUGGUGAUGCCCGUCACAGUGCAGGGAGCUCCCAAUGCUCUGGCAGCAGCCUCCCAAUGCAGUCUGCAGCUCGUCCCAAUCGCUCCACUUGUGCCGCUUCAGACGUCGACUGCAUCGCCCACCGCCGCCGCUCUAGCGGCGGAUGCCCUUGCUCGGCGCAGGUCGGACCCGGCCAUUAGUGGGCUUAUGGCCGGUGCUCGUCCCAAUUGCGGUCGUGGCCUGCAGGCCACCACCCCGGCUCCUCUUGCCACCGGCAAGAACAAGAAUGCUCAAAGAAACAGCCCUUCAGCUGAGAUCCCACAACCCCCGAGUCGCAUCCCGCCCUCACCGAAAAACCGCACACCGCCCUUCCCCAAAUCGCGCCCGUCUGCCGUGUGCCGCUUCUCGCCGUCGGAGGCGAUGGAAGGCGAUGCGAGCAAGCCGCUGCUCGCAGCCUCGACCACCUCCGACGACAUCCCCGACGAACGGGCGCGCCGGGACUUGCCUCGUGGUGCUCCUCCGACGACCAAGGAGCAUCCGGCCUUCUCCUCCUCCCCUUCGCCGCCGCCUGCCGCGGCCGCGGGCACCCCGGCCUUCUCCUCCUCGCCUUCGCCGCCGCCUCCCGCGGGCAUCCCCGACCCCGAGGCCGCCUUAUCCUCCUCCGAGCUUUCGGCGCCGACUGCCGACCCCGAGGACCCGAGCAGCGCCAAGAAUUCUCCGGUGGGGCCCACACCGACGCCCUCCUCCCUCCCGCCAGCAGAUCCCCAGGCUCGCGUGGCCGCGGGCGACGGGUCAUCGUCUUCCGCGAGACAUUGGUGGAACUUCUCUGGCAGGGUGCGACCAAGGGGGCCGUCGCAGUCGCACCUUCCCGUCUUGGUUCACGGCGCUCAACUUCCCGUCCCCGCCCCGCGUCGCAGCAUCCACGAGUCCAUUCAGGCGCUCCGUCGCCAGGGACCAAGGCUUGACUCAGUUGGCGUUGAGAAGGUGAUCGGCCUAUUUGGUUUCUCCCUAUUCGGAUCCCUUUCCCUCUUGCCCUCCACCGCAGAGCGCGCCGCGAGCAAAGAUAACUUGACAGGCACACAGAGGGUCAUCCUCGUGCUGAGCUUCGCUUUGAUCUGGGUGCUGGCUAGCGUGGGGCUCUUAUGUGGACUGCACGGCAAGUCCAACUUCGAGCAGGCGUGGUUCUCCACCUCACAUGGAUGCUCCCGACCGGCACCUUUGCCACUCUGCUUCUACGUCUUCAUGAUCGCCGCUGUCAUACUUCACUUAGUGUCAUGGGUAACGAGCUGCCUAGUUGGCGAGGACAAGAUCGAGGAGAUUGCAGCAACAGAGCAGCGGUAG